rnacentral:lncRNA from 1 species
CCCGAAGGCCGGGGCGCCAAUUUCGUGCAGCGGAAAAAGGCCACAAAAACGGGUGGACUAUAGCCUUGGGGGGUGGGGCUUGCCAUCAUCGUCCGCCGGACUCGGAAUGGCGUGAGACUUUACAAGGCGCCUCCGUGUGCCAAAAAGUGGCCGUGGGCACACCCGCGCCGAAAAAUAACCGCCCGAAGGCCGGGGCGCCAAGUUCGUCCUGCGGAAAAAGCCCACAAAAACGGGUGGGCUAUAGCCUUGGGGGGUGGGGCUGGCCAACUUCGUCCGCUGGUCUCGGAAUGGCGCGAGACUUUCCGAGGCGCCUCCGUAUGCCAAAAAUAGGCUGCGGGAACAGCCGUGCCCAAAAAGAACCGCCCGAAGGCCGGGGCGCAAUUUCGUCCAGCGGAAAAAGCCCACAAAAACGGGUGCGCUAUAGCCUUGGGGGGUGGGGCUGGCCAACUUCGUCCGCCGGACUCGGAAUGGCACGAGACUUUGCGAGCCGCCUCCGUGUGCCAAAAAUAGGCCGCGGGCGCAACCGCGCCCAAAAAUUAGCCCCCGAAGGUCGGGGUGCCAAGACCCCCCAGUGGAAAAAUGGCCAAAAAACGGGUGGGCUAUAGCCUUGGUGGGGGGCGUGGGCGAAGUUCGUCCGCAGGACUAGGAAUUGCCCCAGACUUUGCGGACGGCCCUCGUGUGACAAAAAUAGGCCACGGGCACAGCCGUACCCAAAAAUUAGCCCCCGAAGGUCGGGGUGCCAAGACCCCCCAGCGGAAAAAUGGCCAAAAAACGGGUGGGCUAUAACCUUGGUGGGGGGCGUGGGCGAAGUUCGUCCGCCGGACUCGAAAUGGCCCCAGACUUUGCAGGCGGCCCUCGUGUGCCAAAAAUAGGCCACGGGCACAGCCGCGCCCAAAAAUUAGCCCCCGAAGGUCGGGUUGCCAACACCCCCCAGCGGAAAAAUGGCCCAAAAACGGGUGGGCUAUAGCCUUGGUGGGGGGCGUGGGCGAAGUUCAUCCGCAGGACUCGGAAUGGCCCCAGACUUUGCGGGCGGCCCUCGUGUGCCAAAAAUAGGCCAUGGGCACAGCCGCGCCCAAAAAUUAGCCCCCGAAGGUCGGGGUGCCAAGACCCCCCUGCGGAAAAAUGGCCAAAAAACGGGUGGGCUAUAGCCAAGGUGGGGGGCGUGGGCGAUGUUCGUCCGCAGGACUCGGAAUGGCCCCAGACUUUGCGGGCGGCCCUCGUGUGCCAAAAAUAGGCCACGGGCACAGCCACGCCCAAAAAUUAGCCCCCGAAGGUCGGGGUGCCAAGACCCCCCAGCGGAAAAAUGGCCAAACAACGGGUGGGCUAUAGACUUGUUGGGGGGCGUGGGCGAAGUUCGUCCGCAGGACUCGGAAUGGCCCCAGACUUUGCGGGCGGCCCUCGUCUGCCAAAAAUAGGCCACGGGCACAGCCGCGCCAAAAAAUUAGCCCCCGAAGGUCGGGGUGCCAAGACCCCCCAGCGGAAAAAUGGCCAAAAAACGGGUGGGCUAUAGCCUUGGUGGGGGGCGUGGGCAAAGUUCGUCCGCCGGACUCGGAAUGGCCCCAGACUUUGUGGGGGGCCCUCGUGUGCCAAAAAUAGGCCACGGACACAGGCGCGCCCAAAAAUUAGCCCCCGAAGGUCGGGGUGCCAAGACCCCCCAGCGGACAAAUGGCCAAAAAACAGGUGGGCUAUAGCCUUGGUGGGGGGCGUGUGCGAUGUUCGUCCGCCGGACUCGAAAUGGCCCCAGACUUUGCGGGCGGCCCUCGUGUGCCAAAAAUAGGCCACGGGCACAGCCGCGCCCAAAACUUAGCCCCCGAAGGUCGGGGUGCCAAGACCCCCCAGCGGAAAAAUGGCCAAAAAACGGGUGGGCUAUAGCCUUGGUGGGGGGCGUGGGCGAAGUUCGUCCGCCGGACUCGAAAUGGCCCCAGACUUUGCGGGCGGCCCUCGUGUGCCAGAAAUAGGCCACGGGCACAGCCGUGCCCAAAACUUAGCCCCCGAAGGUCGGGGUGCCAAGACCCCCCAGCGGAAAAAUGGCCAAAAAACGGGUGGGCUAUAGCCUUGGUGGGGGGCGUGGGCGAAGUUCGUCCGCCGGACUCGAAAUGGCCCCAGACUUUGCGGGCGGCCCUCGUGUGCCAAAAAUAGGCCACGGGCACAGCCGCGCCCAAAAAUUAGCCCCCGAAGGUCGGGGUGCCAAGACCCCCGAGCGGAAAAGUUGCCAAAAAACGGGUGGGCUAUAGCCUUGGUGGGGGGCGUGGGCGAAGAUCGUCCGCAGGGCUCGGAAUGGCCCCAGACUUUGCGGGCGGCCCUCGUCUGCCAAAAAUAGGCCACGGACACCGCCGCGCCCAAAAAUCAGCCCCCGAAGAUCGGGGUGCCAAGACCCCCAGCGGAAAAAUGGCCAAAAAACGGGUGGGCUAUAGCCUUGGUGGGGGGCGUGGGCGAAGUUCGUCCGCAGGACUCGGAAUGGCCCCAGACUUUGCGGGAGGCCCUCGUGUGCCAAAAAUAGGCCACGGGCACAGCCGCGCCCAAAAUUAGCCCCCGAAGGUCGGGGUGCCAAGACCCCCCAGCGGAAAAAUGGCCAAAAAACGGGUGGGCUAUAGCCUUGGUGGGGGGCGUGGGCGAAGUUCGUCCGCAGGACUCGGAAUGGCCCCAGACUUUGCGGGCGGCUCUCGUGUGCCAAAAAUAGGCCACGGGCACAGCCGCGCCCAAAAAUUAGCCCCCAAAGGUCGGGGUGCCAAGACCCCCCAGCGGAAAAGUUGCCAAAAAACGGGUGGGCUAUAGCCUUGGUGGGGGGCGUGGGCGAAGUUCGUCCGCCGGGCUCGAAAUGGCCCCAGACUUUGCGGGCGGCCCUCGUGUGCCAAAAAUAGGCCACGGGCACAGCCGCGCCCAAAAAUUAGCCCCCGAAGGUCGGGGUGCCAAGACCCCCCAGCGGAAAAAUGGCCAAAAAACGGGUGGGCUAUAGCCUUGGUGGGGGGCGUGGGCCGAAAUUCGUCCGCAGGACNNNNNNNNNNNNNNNNNNNNNNNNNNNNNNNNNNNNNNNNNNNNNNNNNNNNNNNNNNNNNNNNNNNNNNNNNNNNNNNNNNNNNNNNNNNNNNNNNNNNNNNNNNNNNNNNNNNNNNNNNCCAAAAAACCGGUGGUACUAUAGCCUUGUUGGGGGGGCGUGGGCGAAGUUCGUCCGCCGGACUCGAAAUGGCCCCAGACUUUGCGGGCGGCCCUCGUGUGCCAAAAAUAGGCCAUGGGCACAGCCGCGCCCAAAAAUUAGCCCCCGAAGGUCGGGGUUUCAAGACGCGCUAGCGGAAAAAUGGCCAAAAAACGGGUGGGUUAUAGCCUUGGUGGGGGGCGUGGGCGAAGUUCGUCCGCAGGACUCGGAAUGGCCCCAGACUUUGCGGGCGGCCCUCGUGUGCCAAAAAUAGGCCACGGGCACAGUCGCGCCCAAAAAUUAGCCCCCGAAUGUCGGGGUGCCAAGACCCCCCAGCGGAAAAAUGGCCGAAAAACGGGUGGGCUAUAGCCUUGGUGGGGGGCGCGGGCGAAGUUCGUCCGCCGGACUCGGGAUGGCCCCAGACCUUGCGGGCGGCCUCCGUGUGCCAAAACUAGGCCACGGGCACAGUCGCGCCCAAAAAUUUGCCCCCGAAGGUCGGGGUACUAAGACCCCCCAGCGGAAAAAUGGCCAAAAAAAGGGUGGGUUAUAGCCUUGGUGGGGGGCGUGGGCGAAGUUCGUCCGCCGGACUCGAAAUGGCCCCAGACUUUGCGGGCGGCCCUCGUGUGCCAAAAAAAGGCCACAGGCACAGCCGCGCCCAAAAAUUAGCCCCCGAAGGUCGGGCUGCCAAGACCCCCCAGCGGAAAAAUGGCCAAAAAACGGGUGGCCUAUAGCCUUCGUGGGGGGCGUGGGCGAAGUUCGUCCGCCGGACUCGAAAUGGCCCCAGACUUUGCGGGCGGCCCUCGUGUGCGAAAAAUAAGCCACGAUCACAGCCGCGCCCAAAAAUUAGCCCCCGAAGGUCGGGGUUUCAAGACGCGCUAGCGGAAAAAUGGCCAAAAAACGGGUGGGCUAUAGCCUUGGUGGGGGGCGUGGGCGAAGUUCGUCCGCCGGACUCGAAAUGGCCCCAGACUUUGCGGGCGGCCCUCGUGUGCCAAAAAUAAGCCACGAUCACAGCCGCGCCCAAAAAUUAGCCCCCGAAGGUCGGGGUUUCAAGACGCGCUAGCGGAAAAAUGGCCAAAAAACGGGUGGGCUAUAGCCUUGGUGGGGGGCGUGGGCGAAGUUCGUCCGCAGGACUCGGAAUGGCCCAAGACUUUGCGGGCGGCCCUCGUGUGCCAAUAAUAGGCCACUGGCACAGCCGCGCCCAAAAAUGUG